rnacentral:rRNA from 1 species
AUUGAACGCUGGCGGCAGGCUUAACACAUGCAAGUCGAGCGGGGUGAUGGUGCUUGCACUAUCACUUAGCGGCGGACGGGUGAGUAAUGCUUAGGAAUCUGCCUAUUAGUGGGGGACAACAUCUCGAAAGGGAUGCUAAUACCGCAUACGUCCUACGGGAGAAAGUAGGGGAUCACUUGUGACCUUGCGCUAAUAGAUGAGCCUAAGUCGGAUUAGCUAGUUGGUGGGGUAAAGGCCUACCAAGGCGACGAUCUGUAGCGGGUCUGAGAGGAUGAUCCGCCACACUGGGACUGAGACACGGUCCAGACUCCUACGGGAGGCAGCAGUGGGGAAUAUUGCACAAUGGGCGCAAGCCUGAUGCAGCCAUGCCGCGUGUAUGAAGAAGGCCUUCGGGUUGUAAAGUACUUUCAGCGGGGAGGAAGGCGAUAAGGUUGAUAACCUUGUCGAUUGACGUUACCCGCAGAAGAAGCACCGGCUAACUCCGUGCCAGCAGCCGCCGUAA